UUGCAGGCUGCAACUCGCCUGCAUGAAGCUGGAAUUGCUAGUAAUCGCGGAUCAGCAAGCCGCGGUGAAUACGUUCCCGGGCCUUGUACACACCGCCCGUCACACCAUGAGAGUCGGGAACACCCGAAGUCCGUAGUCUAACCGCAAGGGGGGCGCGGCCGAAGGUGGGUCCGGUAAUUGGGGUGAAGUCGUAACAAGGUAAC
rnacentral:rRNA from 1 species